rnacentral:lncRNA from 1 species
CAUACAGGACAAUCUCACAAGAUUUAUAUGGGAUAUAAAUGUAACAUGUUAUAAUUUAUGCUCUUUACGAAACCAAAAUAUUUAUAAGAAAUUUUUUUGAAACAGGUUAUUGUAAGAUGGAGAUUAGAUCUGCGAACUCUACCAGAUCAUCAAUGUUUUACGCAAAUGAUAAAGUAUCGGGCGUUCCACGAAGUUAGGUCAAGGUUACAAUAUCUUAAAAAGAUGGCUUAUACAACAUGACUUAUUUCAAAGAAAACAUAUACUUAUUGAGUGGACGUUUUCGGGAGUUGAUAAAAAUGUAAUUUCUAAUUCUUUACGAUUACGCUUACAAUGUAUGUAAACAUUAUCAAUUUUAAAUAAAACAAAUUUGUAUCA